rfam:Aedes albopictus isolate Foshan contig93793, whole genome shotgun sequence.
UGCUCUGUGGCUUAAUUGAUUAAAGCGCCGGUUUAGCGAAUACGGAAUCGUGGAUUCAAAUCCCACCAGAACGC